rnacentral:lncRNA from 1 species
UUAUUUAUUUAUUUUUAAGGUUGUGUUUUUAAAAAAACAUUAUGGGGGCUAAAGGUUUACAUGAAAAUAUACAUGGAUUUUUCAAUGAAAGUGGCAGAAAAAGUGGGUUCAAAAACAUUUUUAAAAGGCAAUUUUUGGAGUCCUCUCUCCAUAUAUUCUGUGAGCAAAGUUACAAACUACAUGUUAUUCUGACAACUUCAGCUAUGAUAAAUAAUUAUUAUGAGUCCUGUGUUUAAAAGUGUGCUAAAUUUGGCUCCAGGCAUAGUGAUGGGAGGGUCACACUGGUAUUCUGGCAGUGUUGCCACACUAACAUUCAUGAGAAAACUCAAAUGGUGGUCCUGCCAAUAUUUCGGUUAAAUCUUAAGUAUUUACUGCUGACAUCUGAAUGAACUCUAGAAAUAACUGACAGUGCUGCAGAGUAUCAAAAUAUUAUUAAUAGUGGCAAGAGUUCAUAUUUUGAUGAGGUUAAUCUCUCCAUUGAAGAAGUUUUACCAACAAAAAGUUACUUUGGUCAGAUACUACCUUUUAUGUACCAAACACACAACCCAUCUCUAUAUUUAAAACAAAGUGCUUGUGUGUGUGUGUGUGUGUGUGUGUGUGUGUGUGUGUAGGGGCAUUUCUUUAAAGCUACAUAUAAAAUGACAGCAGUAAUGACCUCUGGGGAAAGGAAGAGGGAAGUAGGGCUGGGUAUCAAAGAAAAUUUCAACUUUAUUGGCAAUAAACUUUUUUAAAAAGAGAAUGUACUCAUACUUCUAUCUAAAAAAUAUAUAUUAUACACAUACAUAAAAUUAUGUCUAUAAAUAUCUGUAUAAAUCUAUAUAUACAGAUUUAAUUUUUAAAUUAGAAUUAAAAUUCUCUCACAAAAUUAGACAAAGGGUUCAACUAGUUCUGGCCUCCCUAUAGAUUUAAUCAAAUUGGUUAACUCUAACUUUGAGUACUCUCUACAACUCUUUCAGAGCCUCACUUUUCCAUCUAUAAAAUAGUAAAAUAAUACAGAUGUAUCUCAUGAAGUAUGCCAAGUUCACUCUCAAUAAAUACAUAUCUGUAGAAACACUUCAUAUCAUGUUAUUAGUCUUAAUAUUAGCCUUAAUAUUUCAUGUUUAGCAUGUAAUAAGGUCUAUUCUUUCUGCCUUAAUUAGUUUUCUCCUUUGCAAGGGCAUAGAUCUCUUUCUUAAGCCUAAGGUGGAAAUGUAAGAGUUAUCGGCUGCUCUUGUUAGUAGGGCUUCUGGCUCAAGUAUCCCUGCCACAGAAAAGAAUGUAGGACUGGGAAGGGAGAGGUGUCUUAAGGCACAUCCUAGCUGAUAAAAUGAUUACUUUAAAAAAGUUCCAGACAAAUAGAUCAAAUUAGAAAAUAUUAAAAAAAAAAACAGUACCACCAGGUGUCACUGUAACCUAAAGCAAUGUUGGUUGUUUCUCUAUUCAGUUGGAAAGAAAUGUACAUUACGUGCAAACAAGUACUAUCUUACAAGGCUUUCCUUGUCAUUAAUUUAUAUUAUCAUAGUAAAGUACUGCUACUAAAUUCUAAACAAAUUUCUAAAUAAAUUUCUAAAUAAAUUUCUAAAUAAAUCAACAAAACUUGAUUUUUAAAAAAUUUAUAAUUAAUGAUACUAAAUGAUUUAAAAUGCAGUAGGUAGAUCUUUGGAGGUCAAGAAUUUUAUAUUUUCAGUUUUGCCUUUUGAGAAGCAAACCUGAAGUCCAUGAUAAUAAUGAUGGUGUAUCAUUUGACUAAGAUUUUAUCAGAGAAUGAAUGAGUCUAGUUGACUGCCCAGCACUUUUCUUGUUCUUUACUGGAUAUUUGGUAUACUUCUUAAAUUAAUAAUAAUAAAAAAAAGUUGGAAAUUCUCAUAACUGAUAAAAUUAUAAUUAUGAAUUAUAAGAUUUUAGAGACAUAAUUCAUUUUAAUAACUACCCAGGGAUUUUAACAUCAAUUUUAUUCUUUUCAUCCCUUAAUCUCUUGAAGAUAUAGGAAUGCUUAAAGCAAAAUGUAAAACAUGGUAUUUUGGGUUUUAAAAUAUACAUAUGUAAAAAAGCAAAAAUAGAAAUAAAACUAAAAUAUACAGAUGUAAUAUACAUGGCAAUAACGACAGAAAGGAUGGAGGGGAGAUAAAUGAAACUAUAGAGUUGUAAGAUAUAUAUAUGUGUGUAUAUAUAUAUAUACAUAUAUACAUUUCCAAAAUUACUUCAAUAAUAAUUUUAAGUUGAUCAUGAUAAAGAAGCAUAUUGUAAUCCCUAUAGUAACUAUUAGAAGAAUAAUGCAAAGAAAUAUAGCUAUAAAAGCCAACAGAAGGGGACCUGGGUGGCUCAGUGGUUGAGCAUCUGCCUUUGGCCAUGGCGUGAUCUGAGGGUCCUGGGAUCAAGUCCUGCAUCAGACUCCACAUAGGGAGCCUGUUUCUACCCUCAGCCUAUGUCUGUCUCUCUCUAUGACUCUUGCGAAUAAAUAAAUAAAAUCUUAAAAAAAGUAAAGCCAACAGAAUUAAAAAGAUAUACUACAAAAUAUUUGUUUAACAUGAAAGAAGGUAGGAAAGGAACUAGAAAUAUGACACAAUUGGAAAACAAAUAGGAAAGGGGCAGACCCAAAUUCAACUAUAUCACUAGUUACAUUAAAUGUAAAUGGAGUAAAUACUCUAAUCAAAAGACAUACAUUAUUGGGCCCAAGUUGUAUAAAAAGCCGGACUCAACUAUAUACUAUCUGUAAGAGAUACACUUUAAAUAUAAAAACACAAAUAGGUUGAAAGUAAAAGUUUGGUAAGAUAUACAAUAUGCAUAAGCAAACUUUAAUGGCUAUAUCAGGAACAGAUAAAGCAGACCCCAAGAAGUAUUAUGAGAGUCAAAGACAUUUCAUAUUGAUAAAAGAGUCAAUACAGCAGAAACUUAUAACGAUUAUAAGUGUAUAUAUGUAUCUAAUAAUAGAACUCAAAAAUAUAUGAAGCAAAAAAAUUAGGAGACUUCAAAGGAGAAAUAGACAAUUACUAUUAUAGUUAAGUUGAUGACUUAAAUAUGCUUCUUUCAGUAGUAGACAGAACACACAGACAGAAAAUCAGUAAUGACAGAGCUAUACAACACUAUGAAACAGAUUGGUUUAAUUAAUAUUUAUAGAGCACUCCACCAAACAACAGAACACAUAUUCUUUUCAAGUACACACAGAACAUUAAUCAAAAUAGACUGUGUUGAACCAUAAAACAAAUUUCAAUACAGUUAAAAGGACUGUAUUUAUACAGAAGAUGUUCUCGGACUACAAAGAAGUUAAAAUAAUAAAAGGAUAUCUGUAUAAUCCCCAAAUAUUUGGACAUUAAGCAAAAUAUGUGUAAACAACCAAUGAGUCAUAAAAGAAAUUACAAGAGAAUAAGAAAGCAUUUUUCACUGAAUGAAAAUGAAAACACAUCAAAAUUUGUGGGAUACAUUUAAGACAUGUUUAGAAGGAAAUGUAUGUAUAUGCUUAUAUUAGAAAUGUCUAUAUUAGAAAAGAAGAAAAUUCAUUUCUCUUAAAUGGGCUUCCAAAUUUAAUAACUCCAGUUCUUUUAUAUUCUGCUAGAUGGAGAUGCUGAGUCACUGACAGAUUUCAAAAAUAUUUUGGUUGGUAUGUAUUUCACAUUACCUUUGUGAUUAGAGGAAGAUAAGGAGCAAAGAAGUAUUUACUGUGUGCCUACUAGGCCACAAAAGGUGUACUUAAAAGAAAAGGCUUUUUUUCCUUCUUCUGAGAUUGAGGUUAUCCAGAGUCACAGAACUAGUGAGUGAUGGAGAAGCUCAGAUUUGGGUCUGCCUGAUGUUACAGCUCAUACUCCUACUAUACAGCAGGAUGCCUGAAUUCUUGAUUGGUACUCAACCUGUGUUCCACUAUGGCUCCUAUAUUUCCUUUUGCUUAAACUGUUCAGCUUAUUUCCCAUUAUUAUAGUUUGUUUCUUAUUAAUGAAAUCUGUUAUGAUUUAUUCAUUGUCAAUUAAUGAAAGACAAAGCAAAUGUUUCUAUUUGUCAUGUUAUUGCUUUUAGGUUAUAAAGUCAUAAUGGGGGAUCCCUGGGUGGUGCAGCAGUUUAGCGCCUGCCUUUGGCCCAGGGCACGAUUCUGGAGACCCGGGAUCGAAUCCCACAUCGGGCUCCCGGUGCAUGGAGCCUGCUUCUCCCUCUGCCUAUGUCUCUGCCUCUCUCUCUCUCUCUCUGAUGACUAUCAUAAAUUUUAAAAAAAAAACAACUUAUAAAGUCAUAAUGGAUAACUCAUGUUUACCACAUUAUACUAACUGCUGCACAAUGCUUCCAUGUAGAUAGGCAGAGGUAUUAGAUGCACUUCAGGAUGAUGAGAGCAUGCUUUCACCACUUAGAUUUCCUUCAGGAAAUACAUCUGGUACAGUAUGUUUGAAACUCUAAUGCCAUCAAUUACUGUCAACAUUGAAUAUUAUAAAUUUCCCAAAUAGAAAAGGAAAAUGCAUUGAUUAAAAUUAAUUCCACUGAAUUACCUGAAUAAACUACAUAACAGUUCUGGGUUAUCAUGACUGAUCAGACUUUAAUAAUAAUAGCUAACAGUUUUGAGUGCUUUUCAUAUUCUGAGCCCCAUGGCAAAUGCUAUUUACCAUAGCAUAGUUUGUAAAUAAACCCACACAGAUGAGGAAAUUGAGGAUUAAGCUUGCUCUAUCUAACCUGAGUUAAAAUAUAAACUCAAGUUUGCCUUUCUCAGCAUCUAUGUAAACAUGCACACCCUAAACAGGGAAAGUAUGAAAGAAUGGAAGUGUAUCCUGGUUCUAAAAGCUUUAUAUUAAUAUCUAUUGAUACUAGAAAAGUACAAGAGGAUCAGAUAUAUUUGGAUACUUUACAGGCUCUUACAACUUCAUGGGAUAUUAUAUACAAUUUCAAGUUAAUUCUUUGGGGAUCAUGCAAUGUCUUUAUUUUUCCUUGACUAUCAAUGUUUCAAUAUGCAAUAAGGAAGUCAAGAAAUGCUUGCUUCCACAGAGAUGAGCAUGUAACUCCCAAAAGAAUAAAUACAAAUGAUAACAUAUAGAGAUCACUACUUUUUUGUAAUUAAAAGAUUCAAGUAAAUGAGUUUUUGGCACCAGCAAGUUGAAACUACUAAAUUAGCAACAUUUAAACAUACACAUGGCAUAGGCAUGGCUGCAGCAAAUCUGUUAUAUUUUUGUGUAGAUAAAAAAUCUGUUUUUGACUUGGUGAUAUUGCUUAAUUUAGUUUACCAUAAAAAAUAAAGGGAUUGAAUAAAAAACUAUAUGAAAAUAUUUGUCAUCAAAAUGAAAACAAUUUUAACAGUACAGUAAUUUGAUACAGUGGUAUAUCAACAAGAUGUAGUCAUUUAAGUGAUCAAUGUAUUAAGUACAACAUAUUUUCAAAAAGCACAACACUACUUUCAAUGUACCACAUGACUACAUCUGUACAAAAAUGGGAGACACUCCACAAUAGCCAAAAUAUAGAAAGAGCCCAGAUGUCCAUUGGCAGGUAUAUGAAUAAAGAAGGUGAUGUAUAUAUACAUACACACACACACACACACACA